UACGUAGGGUGCGAGCGUUGUCCGGAAUCAUUGGGCGUAAAGCGCGUGUAGGCGGCUAGGUAAGUCUGCUCUGAAAGCCCGGGGCUCAACCCCGGGAGGCGGGUGGAUACUGUCUAGCUCGAGUCCGGAAGAGGAGUGUGGAAUUCCUGGUGUAGCGGUGGAAUGCGCAGAUAUCAGGAGGAACACCGGUGGCGAAGGCGGGUCUCUGGGCAGUAACUGACGCUGAGGAGCGAAAGCGUGGGGAGCGAACAGG
rnacentral:rRNA from 1 species